rnacentral:rRNA from 1 species
UACGUAGGGUGCAAGCGUUGUCCGGAAUUAUUGGGCGUAAAGAGCUCGUAGGCGGUCUGUUGCGUCGGCUGUGAAAACCCGGGGCUCAACCCCGGGCCUGCAGCCGAUACGGGCAGACUAGAGUUCGGUAGGGGAGUCUGGAAUUCCUGGUGUAGCGGUGAAAUGCGCAGAUAUCAGGAGGAACACCGGUGGCGAAGGCGGGACUCUGGGCCGAUACUGACGCUGAGGAGCGAAAGCGUGGGGAGCAAACAGG